UACGUAGGGAGCGAGCGUUAUCCGGAUUUAUUGGGUGUAAAGGGUGCGUAGACGGGAAAAUAAGUUAGUUGUGAAAGCCCUCGGCUUAACUGAGGAACUGCAACUAAAACUGUUUUUCUUGAGUACUGGAGAGGAAAGUGGAAUUCCUAGUGUAGCGGUGAAAUGCGUAGAUAUUAGGAGGAACACCAGUGGCGAAGGCGACUUUCUGGACAGAAACUGACGUUGAGGCACGAAAGUGUGGGGAGCAAACAGGAUUAGAUACCCUGGUAGUCCACACCGUAAACGAUGGAUACUAGGUGUAGGGGAUAAUAAAUUCUCUGUGCCGCCGCUAACGCAAUAAGUAUCCCACCUGGGGAGUACGGCCGCAAGGUUGAA
rnacentral:rRNA from 1 species